rnacentral:rRNA from 1 species
AACGAACGCUGGCGGCAGGCUUAACUCAUGCAAGUCGAGCGCCCCGCCAGGGGAGCGGCAGACGGGUGAGUAACGCGUGGGAAUCUACCCAUCUCUACGGAAUAACGCAUGGAAACGUGUGCUCAUACCGUAUACGUCCUUCGGGAGAAAGAUUUAUCGGAGAUGGAUGAGCCCGAGUUGGAUUAGCUAGUUGGUGGGGUAAAGGCCUACCAAGGCGACGAUCCAUAGCUGGUCUGAGAGGAUGAUCAGCCACACUGGGACUGAGACACGGCCCAGACUCCUACGGGAGGCAGCAGUGGGGAAUAUUGGACAAUGGGCGCAAGCCUGAUCCAGCCAUGCCGCGUGAGUGAUGAAGGCCCUAGGGUUGUAAAGCUCUUUCACCGGUGAAGAUAAUGACGGUAACCGGAGAAGAAGCCCCGGCUAACUUCGUGCCAGCCGCCGCAGUAAAAC